AAAAAAAAAAAAAAAAAAACCCAAAGCUUUUUCUUUCUCCCUUUUUUGUCAAUGGUGGAGUGUGACUGUGACAAGCUUCUGUCUGUCUCAAAAUCCUUCUUCACUGAUUAAUAAUAUAAUCAUUUUAAUUAACUAAAAUUACUCUCUCUUUCAUUUCCUAUAAAGCCACUUCUCUCUCUCUCUUCUUCAUUCCACUUCUUCACUAAUUUAUUCCAAUUUCUUAAUGGAUUCGGAGGAUGAGUUCGAU
rnacentral:misc_RNA from 1 species